UGUUAUAUUCGAUCAACAUCCAUAUUUAAUUAACAUUAUUGACAUUAAAAAUUAUCACAUAAAAUAAAUAAAAAUUAAUAAUUAAAUAGAUGUGAGAUCAAGAAAAUGUGAGAUAAGAAAAUCUCACAAAUCCUACGUUGCACCCAGAAAUUGUCUCAAUUUAAUUUAAUCAUAACAUCAUCAGUUCAUGAAAUUUUGGAAUAGUGUUAGUUCCCAGGGCAGUGUUAGGGAUAGCCUAAGAGGACUCGUAAUAGUUUAGUGUAAAUACUAAAACAUUACAUGAAUGGGAGUUAUUUCGCACAACGUGAAUAUGUAAUAAAAAUCACUUGUAUAAUUUACUAUAUUUUAU
rnacentral:lncRNA from 1 species